rnacentral:rRNA from 1 species
AGCCAGACUCCUACGGGAGGCAGCAGUGGGGAAUAUUGCACAAUGGGGGGAACCCUGAUGCAGCAAUGCCGCGUGAAGGAUGAAGGUUUUCGGAUUGUAAACUUCUUUUGUACGGGACGAAGAAAGUGACGGUACCGUAAGAAUAAGCCACGGCUAACUACGUGCCAGCAGCCGCGGUAAUACGUAGGUGGCAAGCGUUAUCCGGAUUUACUGGGCGUAAAGGGUGUGUAGGCGGGACUGCAAGUCAGAUGUGAAAAUUACGGGCUCAACCUGUAAACUGCAUUUGAAACUGUGGUUCUUGAGAGCCGGAGGGGUAAAUGGAAUUCCCAGUGUAGCGGUGAAAUGCGUAGAUAUUGGGAGGAACACCAGUGGCGAAGGCGAUUUACUGGACGGCAACUGACGCUGAGACACGAAAGUGUGGGGAGCAAACAGGAUUAGAUACCCCGGUACA